UAGCUUCCCAGCCUACAUCUUUCUCCUGUGCUGGAUGCUUCCUGCCCUCGAACAUUGGACUCCAAGUUCUUCAGUUUUGAGACUCGGACUGGCUCUCCUUGCUCCUCGGCCUGCAGAGAGCCUACUGUGGGACUUUGUGAUCAUAGUGAAAACUGGGUGAAGAACAAGCAAGACUGAAAGCCUGGAAUGCAGUCAACAGGAGAAAAGGGCAAACAGGAGUGGGAAAGUUUAAAUCCCACGGUCAACCUCAGCUCUCUGCCUACUGUGCCUGUGCCCACACAGCUGAAGAAGUCCAGAGAAAACACACAAGGCUUCAAGGAAUUGAAUGGCUUCAUGUUGACUGACGUUACACUGGUAGCUUGAGCUCAGCAGUGGUGAGCAUAUUUAUACCGCAGGAAUCAGCAGACACUUCAAGUCAAAUGCUUUUUAAUUGGAUAGUUUUCACAUUUAUAGAAAAGUGAGGUUUCGUUGUGUUGGCCGGGCUGGUCUCCAGCUCCUAACCGCGAGUGAUCCGCCAGCCUCGG
rnacentral:lncRNA from 10 species